CCGUGGGUUAGAAACAGAGCCAACUAUUCUUUCGCCUUUUACUAAAGAAUGCCGUGUUACUGUCACUCAAAUUAUUUUUAGUUUAAUAAUGAUUUGAUGAUGUUAUGUCAA
rfam:Glycine soja cultivar W05 scaffold975_98, whole genome shotgun sequence.